rnacentral:lncRNA from 1 species
GUAGAAUCACGUGUUGUGUUCUGAUCUCUCUCCCAAGAACUGUGGACAUAUCAUAAUAACGAAACAUGGUGUUAGAAACGGGAUUUAAAAUCAGUGACUUAAAGUGUAAACGACUCAAAGUGAUAAAUUGGAUAUAAAACAAAAAUACUAUAACUGCAAGACUUGUAAAGUGAACACUGACAAUGGCAACAGGAAGCACUGGUAUACAACACCCAUCUAUGGACUGGGAGUCAACCAAUCUCCCAGACAGUUGGAGUAAGUUUGAAAGACACAGCAAGCUGAUGUUCGAUGGACCCUUUAAAGGGAAAAAUCCGAAAGAACAAUGUGCUUACAUAUUAUUAUGAGUGGGCGAUAGAGGCCGCACGGUACACGAGUCAUGGGACUUAACGGAGGCUCAAAAUAAAGACCCGGCGUUCAUUCUUACUAAAUUCAAGGAAUUUGUUGAGCCCCAAACAAAUCCAGUUUUCGCAAGAUACAAAUUCUAUCAUGAAAUUUAGAACGAGGACACUAUCGACGAAUUUAUUGCAAGACUAUCAAUUAAGGCAAAGGAUUGCGAUUUUGGAGAUCAAUUAGACGAAAUGCUAAGAGACAGAAUAGUAUUUAGUUGCAAAUCGGAACGGGUGCGCGAAAAAUUGAUAGAAAAAGGAAAAGACUUAACAUUACAAACGGCAAAGUAAAUUGCACAAUCAUACGAAUAUAAUAAAAAACAAAUAGAGGCUAUGAAAGCUCACGACAAGAGAUAGAUUCGAUCACGUCCCGGAAAGCAAGAUCUUGGGCCGCACAGUCAAAUGCCCACAGAGGACGAAAUCUUAAUAAACAAAGAAAAGAGUCAUACCAGAAGCGUGACCAGCCCGAACGGAUACCCACGAGACGCAGCCGACCUGACAUGCAGAAGACACACAGGAACAUUUGCUCGCAAUGCGGAAAUAGAAAACACAAACAAACGGACUGUCCAGCAUUUGACUUAAAAUGCAACAAGUGUUCGAAAUUUAAUCAUUUCGCUAAAAUGUGUAGAACAGAAACAGAUAAAAAUGUACAUUCAGUCUGUGAAAAUUUGGAUUUUACUGACUCGAGUGAGGAUGUUUCGUUCACUCGGAUAUCAUUUCAAGAAAAACAGCAUCUUUUGUAUUACCAGUUAUGUUGAAAAAUGAAGCUAAAUAUGAAGACUGUGUGCAGAUGGCUACGAAAGUAUCUCCAAGACUGGUAUACAAAAGCUGGUAGAUCUGAUGAGCUAAGAUAUCUCACAGUUCCAGUUGGCGGUGAUCAGCUCACUCGCGUACGAUUAGAUGGUGCCAAGAACUUGCGAAUUGGUGCUCAUACCAGGGAAGAGAGAUUUGACGACCUAUAUCCUGUCAUAAUCGAGAUGUUUCAUACACAGAUGGACUUUCUUCAGGCAGGCAGGGAAACCAUAAUUAUAUAAUAAACUCAUAUAUGCAUAUGCUGCUUUGGUCCAUCGUUCCAUCCAUGUAAAAUCACAUAACUGAAAAACCUAUAAGUUUUCUAAAAUAGACUGCUCCAUCUCUCAAUUUGAACAAUAUCAUUUAUAGUUCACAGAGGAGUCUUAUAAAAUCUACUGACUGAAUAGUUAACAGUGCAGAUCAUGAUCAGACUGCACAGAUAUGCAGGAUGAUCUUGAUUAGCACUGUUCGCAAAGGCAGAUAUAGUUGUUGCUAGCUGACAAAGCAUUUGGGCAUUUUGUUGAAAAUAGCAUUUAUUAGACUUUACUGCUUAAUUGGGCUUUGAGGAUAUCAACCACCUUUUCCAUUUCUGAUGAAGUGAAACAUGCAUUAAUAGUCAGGAUAGUGGGUUCUUAAAGCAGGUUUCAUUGUGUAUCCCAAGCUAGCUUUUCAAUGCUUAUAUGAUUGUUCUCAACAAGGUUUUGUGGCAGGAGUUGCAGUUUACAAUUCAUAAUAAUACUUUUUAAAUAAUUUUAGAAAACAAUCCUGCAGUUUUUUAAGAAGUCAUCUGGUAGAGACGUUGGAACACUGUACCACAUCAAAAUACAAAUGCUAUGAACAAGUGUUAAUGGCAAGGUUAAAAGUCGUUUCAAGGUAGGGGAAUAGUAUUUUAUAAACAGGAAGUUAACUGAAAAUGGUAGCAUACAUAUUCUUGCAUUGUUAUUAUAUUAGUUUUACAAAGGAAUUGAAAUCAAACAGAAUUAUGUUUCAGUUUAUACAUAUGAACAGACUACAAAAGCAAUACUGUCUUAGUCUGGGGUUCUCUGCAUCUUUGCGAGAGCUGUAAAUGCAGCACAAAAUUCUUUCUGUAUGGAUUCCUUUCAUAGAGAUACAAAACACUACUACUAGUCACAAUAACCUGAUAAAUGAGAGCAACAUUUACCUUCAAUGUAACAUCAUAGCGAAACAUUAAGGACAACUUUAAAUAUAGGUCAUUAGUGUGAAACAGAAAUGAUAAAUGACUGUUGGCAUCUGCUUGUGGUGCUCUUCUUUAUACAUUGUAUACAUGUUUGAAGAUUUGUUUUUCAAAAUUACUAGCCAUACAGCCAGGCCUUUUUUAAACUAUUAAUCAGUGUCAACUCUUAUCCUGCUAUGUUUCUAAAAUGGACUACUCCACUUUUCAGCUUGGACUAUUUAUAUUAAUUAGGGUAUUCAUUGCAAAAUUACAGACUUGAAUAGCAAAUAGAUGUAAAUUUAUUUAUUUAUUAGGGUUUUACGGCGCACCAACACAGUAUAGGUUUUGGUUUCACAUCUCUUUACAUCAAAAUAAAAAAAGAAUUAGUCAGUAAAAGAACACUUUUAAAUGAAAAGAUUAUGUACACAGCAAAUCGUCUAAAAUUUGGCCUUCCAUUGCCGGACAAUAACGAGGAAUUGGAAUGAAUUACAAAACAUAAUCAGGACUGCAAUUUGCAUUUCAGUGCUUCAGUUGUUACUGUUGAAUCAAAGCUAGUAACCUUUGCAUAAUCUGUAUGUACUCCAAUAUUUGAUUCAGAAAUUAAACCUUCAGCCCUCUACUGGAAUCUUUAUUAAUAUUGUAAUAAAUAUUUGACAGAAGUGAUAACUGCUAAUUUACUUCAGGGAAAAUGGUCAACAACCAAUCAUCAUGUUUUAGCUCGCUUGAGCACAACAUGCUGAGGGAAAGCUAUUGUGAUCGGUCUUUGUCAUGUGACUGUACUUUUCAUUGAAUUUUCAAAGAAAUUUGUCACUCAUAACCAGUUUAAAAUGAAAGCACAAAUGAAAUAUAUUGAUUACUCAUCAAAAGCAGCAAAUAAAUAUUAAAGGUGCAAAGUUCUUAAAAGACCGCCCAUUGGAACAGCAAACAAGUUUAUAAAUGUGAGGACAAGUGUCAGAUCAGGAUUUGAACCUGAAACCUCCCCAUAACAUUAUACUUAAAUGUUUGGGGUGCUCUAACCAACUGAGCUACCUGACACCGACUGUCUACAUUGAAAAAAUAUGGGAAUUUUUGAAUUUCCAAGCAAGCUAGGACAUCUUGAAGUCAUACAAAUUUUCAAUAUCAUGGAAUAACCACAUUAAAUCAACAACAAUUUAUAAAUUGACCACUCUGAUAUCAUAUCAUCUGCUGUGAACAGAACUGUUCAGAAUAGAAAAUGAAAUAGCCUUCUAUCAACUUAUAAGCAUAUCAUGUAUUGCUGCAUUUUACAUGUUUGAUACAUCAAAUGUAUUUAAUCUAAUGCAAUACAGCUUUUUUUCUAGAUAACAUAAAGUCAUAAGAAGAGAAAAGUACUGUAAAGCACUUUUUUUUACUAAAUGAACUUUGUGUUAAGGUAGUUCUGUACAUUUGAAAGACCGGAACUCGUGGUGUAACGUUAUUUAUCCGGAAAAACAUAGAAUAAAGCCUGGAUUCGGCGUACGGAAAUAAAAAGUCAGUUUAUGAAUUAACUGAAACCUGUGAGUAAAUCUAUUACAAUGGCACGGUUGCUAUAUUUCUAUAGUCAAAAUGCAAUAUUAAAACAUAUGGCACGUUAAAAAAUCAAAAUAAUGUGUUAAAAUUAGCGUGAAAUGUCCGGUUCACUUAAAUCA